UGGAAAGCCAUCUUGCUUGCUCCAGGAGGUCGAAGUACCAGUGAUGAGUCUUACAGACUGUCGCAACAUGAGUUACAAUCCUAGAAUGAUUUCGGACAACAUGCUAUGCGCCGGAUAUCGCGAAGGCAUGCGGGACUCCUGCCAGGGUGACAGCGGUGGACCACUCGUUGCCGAACGAGAAGACAAGAGAUACGAACUGAUCGGCGUCGUCUCUUGGGGGAAUGGCUGUGCCCGAGCAGGUUAUCCCGGCGUCUAUA
rnacentral:misc_RNA from 1 species